GCUUCAUCUAAUUCACAAGGAAAAUCAUAAAGAUUCAAGCAAAUUGAAAGCAUAAUCAGGAAAUUGCAAGCUCUUAACUAAUCCUUUGAAAGGGUGUAAAGGAAGAGGGCUCGGGUUCUAAGAAGUCGGAAAGCUCGCAAGACAAAGGUAAAUCCUCGAUUUAGACGUUUGGACGGCUUGGAACGUGCACACUUGGAUUACGCCCGCCUCACGCUUCCGUUAUUAAGUCUUUUAAAAUGGGUUAAGUUUUGGUCAUAUGUAACUAGGUUUAUGUAGUAUGUUGAUAACUUCGUUGUUGGGUAAAAACUUGGUA